GAUGAACGCUGGCGGCGUGCUUAACACAUGCAAGUCGAGCGGAAAGGCCCUUCGGGGUCCUCGAGCGGCGAACGGGUGAGUAACACGUGAGUAACCUGCCCCAGACUUUGGGAUAACCCUCGGAAACGGGGGCUAAUACCGGAUACGACACAGCUUCGCAUGGGGUCUGUGUGGAAAGUUUUUCGGUUUGGGAUGGGCUCGCGGCCUAUCAGCUUGUUGGUGGGGUGAUGGCCUACCAAGGCGACGACGGGUAGCCGGCCUGAGAGGGCGACCGGCCACACUGGGACUGAGACACGGCCCAGACUCCUACGGGAGGCAGCAGUGGGGAAUAUGGCACAAUGGGCGGAAGCCUGAUGCAGCGACGCCGCGUGAGGGAUGACGGCCUUCGGGUUGUAAACCUCUUUCAGCAGGGACGAAGCGUAAGUGACGGUACCUGCAGAAGAAGCGCCGGCCAACUACGU
rnacentral:rRNA from 1 species